UCGAAUAAAAGAGAUGUGCGUCUCGCACUCUCAAAUCCUAUUCACCUGUGCACCGAAUUUUUAUAUGCUCUUUGAAUAAAUAUAAAAUAUAAAAUAACACUUAAUA
rnacentral:misc_RNA from 1 species